UACGUAGGGUGCGAGCGUUGUCCGGAAUUACUGGGCGUAAAGAGCUCGUAGGCGGCUUGUCGCGUCGAAUGUGAAAACUCGGGGCUCAACUCCGAGCUUGCAUUCGAUACGGGCAGGCUAGAGUUCGGUAGGGGAGACUGGAAUUCCUGGUGUAGCGGUGAAAUGCGCAGAUAUCAGGAGGAACACCGGUGGCGAAGGCGGGUCUCUGGGCCGAUACUGACGCUGAGGAGCGAAAGCGUGGGGAGCGAACAGG
rnacentral:rRNA from 1 species